rnacentral:lncRNA from 1 species
UUCCUGAUAUCACCGGUGUUUGGAUCUCCUUUGAGAUGGGUGUUUUUAGGGUCUUUGUUGGUCGUAUCCAACUGAGGUUCUGGAAUUGUCUUUUCAGUAGAACAGCCAAGUCUGUAAUUUGUUUACUCAAUCUGUCAAAUUCUUCUCGGGAAACAGCAUUAGACUGGUCAGAAGAAGACAUGAUUGGUUGUAGGCCUGUGGCCUUUUUGGAUUUUGAGCGGGUAACAGGCCCAAUUGCUUCCCUACAAAAGACUUACGUAGUUUAGUCUUAGGGUAAUGUAAAUGUUAUCAUAAC